rnacentral:rRNA from 1 species
UACGUAGGGUGCGAGCGUUAAUCGGAAUUACUGGGCGUAAAGCGUGCGCAGGCGGUUUUGUAAGACAGAUGUGAAAUCCCCGGGCUUAACCUGGGAACUGCGUUUGAAACUACGGAGCUCGAGUACGGCAGAGGGGGGUGGAAUUCCACGUGUAGCAGUGAAAUGCGUAGAUAUGUGGAGGAACACCGAUGGCGAAGGCAACCCCCUGGGCCGAUACUGACGCUGAGGCACGAAAGCGUGGGGAGCAAACAGG